GGGGAACUGGCUCAGUGGUAGAGCGUCCGCUUUGCAUGCGGAAGGUCGGGGGUUCGAUUCCCUCGUUCUCCA
rfam:Nematocida sp. JTm2807 16, whole genome shotgun sequence.